UACGUAGGGUCCGAGCGUUGUCCGGAAUUAUUGGGCGUAAAGGGCUCGUAGGCGGUUUGUCGCGUCGGGGGUGAAAACUCAGGGCUCAACCCUGAGCGUGCUUCCGAUACGGGCAGACUAGAGGUAUGCAGGGGAGAACGGAAUUCCUGGUGUAGCGGUGGAAUGCGCAGAUAUCAGGAGGAACACCGGUGGCGAAGGCGGUUCUCUGGGCAUGACCUGACGCUGAGGAGCGAAAGCAUGGGGAGCGAACAGG
rnacentral:rRNA from 1 species